AUACACACAUACACACACACAUAUAUAUAUAUAUAUAAAUGCAAGAUAAUCAAGACGUGGAAAAGUGAGAUUUGACAAGAUCGAGAGCAUUGACUUACCGAAGAAGCUGCUCCAUGCUUCGUUCCGUAACGGGAAAUCACUUGAUACAUCAGAGUCGAUGAACCGGCUACUUUCAUCGGGUUAUGUUCCAGGCAAGCGAUCGAUGUCUCGGCAAAAGGAACAAGAUGGUAUAAUCCACAGUAUCGGAAAUCCAUUGGUGAAGUUGACCUAAAUAAGAACCACUAAAGAACUAAGGAGAAGAUUCACUGUAUUCGUACGCGCGCAAACGAAUGACGCAACGCGAAAGUCGAACCAUCUGGUGUCGAAUCUAAUAAUCAAUGUCAAUCACGUGACUGAUCUUGGAUAUAAUAAAUAGUGUAGUAAUCGUUGUCACGUUGUGGAUACGGUCGUUCGGCCUGCGUAAGAUACGACGAUAAAAUAAAGAAAAUCGGCCUGUUAAAAAUCAGUACCCCAGGGAAGAGGGGAAAAUUUUUGAAUAGAAAGAAUGAUUAUCCUAUCCAAUUAUAUCGUAAUGGUAUUUCAUAUCUUUUUGAUUGUACAAAAUAUUAAAAACACUAAGAUGUGAAUCUCAAGAGUGGAUCUAUGCGCAAAAUAAUCCAAGACGACGUAGCAACCUUGACUUUUCUCCAGAGAAAUUUUCGAAUCAAAGAAAUGAAAAUACGAAUGAUAUUUCAUAUACGUAUCUUUUUGUACAAUAAAAUAAAAUAAUCUCAAGAAUGAUAA